CAGACUGCCCCUGGACGACGCCCCCCGGAUUUCCCUGUCGCUCGGCUUCCGACACGCUUUGGAGCAAGGACUCCUAAAGAAGUCAUCUCCCCAUCAGUUUCUCAGAGGUUGCCCGACCCGGAACCUAUGCAGCUAGGAAAGGCUGGUCUGUCUAAGGAGGAGCACCAGCGCAGGCAGCAACAGGGUCUCUGCCUCUAUUGUGGAGGAGCUGGUCAUCGCGUUCGGUCUUGCCCGUUAAAAGACCAAGCUCAGUAGGUGAGGGGAGGUCUCUACUGAGCUACACCAAGCUCGCUGUCUCCCCAGACCGGUUAUUCCCUGCCACUCUAACCACUUCUACUGAAUCCCACAGACUCUCCGUCUUCAUCGACUCAGGGGCGGACACAGAGUUCAUGGAUGAAGGGCUGGCCAAAAGACUGAACAUCCGACUCCACCCUGGCUCUUCUACCCGUAGUGUUCUUGCCCUGGAUGGUCAUGAGUUAAAUAUUUCUCGUCUUGUUUCUGAGCCAGUGGAGCUAAUAUUGGGAGGAAAUCACAGAGAGAGGCUGACUUUUAUGAUUAUAGACUCCCCACAGGUUCCAGUGAUUUUGGGUGCCACUUGGCUCCGGAGACACAACCCCCAGGUUGAUUGGCGGCGGGUCGAAGUGAUGGGGUGGGCCCCGUCCUGCUCUGAAUCGUGUCUGUUCUCCGCCCAGCAUCCCCCUUCAUCUGAGGAAAGUUAUCCCCUGCAGAGCGCAAUUAUGACGUGGGAAAUCGGGAACUCUUGGCGGUGAAGUUGGCGCUUGAGGAAUGGA